AAGCAUCUACUACAAAUUCCUGAAAUAGUUUUUCAGCUCUCAAAAUUGUUGAAUACUCAACGUCACGUUGAAACAUACGAUAACUGUAAUAUUGCAACACGUUGGAACAUACGAUAACUGUAAUAUUGCAAUUGUGUCUAUCGAGUAAAUGAAUGUCCACCUUGGGAAGCGUUCUAAUGUUUCAAAUCUGAAUUCCAUCCUAGCUCACCACAAGGGAAUAAUAACACAUAAUGCAAUGGUAAAUAGGUCGGAUGACACUCAUUAAUUUGAGUCAAACCAUUAUCCCCUCUCAAAUGUAACAUAAUAUCUCUCAUUCCAUUUGAUUCCUCCCGAUAAUAUAACCGCAAUCUCAUCAGUUGUUGGGAGAUUAUAUCAACGCCGGUUUGUUACAGAACUAUGGUGAAAAUAUGACGAUAAAUUCACCCCGUCAAUUCCAAUUCACUUAAAAUUGUGUGAGCCUGCGAAAAUUUCAUAGAAAAAGGAUUAACUUGCAAUAAAUAAUUUUGUAUGGUUUUCAAAACAUCUUUUCUCAAGUUAGGAUUUUUGUUGCUGCGAACAUCUAAAGUUGAAUUAGGAUAAUAAAUGUACAAUUGAGAAUAAAUUGGUUCACACCCUGACUGUGGCAUAAGAGAUCUUGUUCGAUGGCGUAAUUCUCUAUGGAUGGUGAAUGUUUUAGGCCCCCUCCCGACAAUUAAUCUGUCAUCCAAAAUAGCAUCAAGAUGUAAACGCAUAAAAAUCCGAACUAAAGAAUUUGUGUCUCGCUUGAUCAUUAGUUACUGAGAGGUUAAAAAUAUAUCUUCUCUUGGCAUUAUACUCUCGUGUGUGCUGAUGAAACGAUUUUGAUUGUUCAUCAUCGUCGUCAUACAAUGAUUUAAAGAGGUGCAAUAAGUGGAGGUAGUCAAAGAGAGGAUUUGAUAUAAAUGAUUUUGUUAAUUUUUCAGCAAGACGUUGUAAGGUAGAACAAUGAAGACAUGGUUUCGAGAAUUAAAUGCAACAUUUAUAGCUACAACUUCUAUUGUGUAGGCACUACAAAUAAAAUUAUAGAUGUCAUACAAUUUUUAAAAGUUAAACAUGAAUAAGACAGCAAGUGUUCGUUGAGUUCAGUUCCUACUAAAGUUAUCGUAUGAAUAAGACAGCAAGUGUCCGUUCCGUUCAGUUCAGCAAGGAAAACAUGAAUCAGUUCAGUUCUGUUCCUACUAAAGUAGAAGACGACUCUUGUCCUGCUCAAUCCAUUUUUUGAGCCUAUGAUCCAAAUAUGUUGUUUACAAACUCAAUCCAUUUGAGUUUUCUCACAUUAUUUCUUUAAACUUUAUAAAAUAAAAAAGACUAUCACCCAAACAAAUAAUGAAAUAGAAAUACAAUACAUUUUUUUUUUAUUAUUUGGUUUAUUCUUUUUGGGGAUUUUAACUUACAACUCAAACUAAUUAAGUAUAAACUUCAUAUUUAAAAUUAAUAAUUAAAUAAAUAUAUCAAAAAUAAUACAUUACUUUUGUUUCUAUAACAAAAAAUAUAGUACUUGAGAAUAAUAUUUUAUUCUAAUUAUGGUGGUCAAUUGGGACAACAAAUUUAAAUUGCAUCAGGAUAUUAUUCCAUAUUGGUAAUUAUAGGGAGCAUCGGUCUUAGUUCCUAGGAAGCUUUAUAUUAGAGUUGCAAUUCCAGCAUCAGUCUCAGUCGUAUCGAUUGAUUGAAUAAAACCGGAUCAUCAUGCAGAAUAUCAGUAUGAAAAGACCAGGUUUGAGUUUCUUUGAAUACAAAUAUCACUUAAAACAAAACAGCACAGCACAGCAGUAAUAUAAGAUCGAUGAAAAAUCAUAUUGAUUCGAAAGAGAAUCAUGGAUGUACCUUUGGCAGCCCAACAGAAUGAGAACCUUAUUCAGAUUUUUUUGCUGGCAUCUCUUACUGCAAAGAUGAGGAAGAGAGAAGAAAGGUCUAGAUGCGGCUUAUGUAGGUAGGCAGGCCGGCUGACUCUAUCUUUAUAUAGGUACUAGCUUUGGUUCACGCUCAAUGCAGGGUCUUAGCAAACCCUGAUUUUCACAUUUUAAUUUUUCUAAAGUCAAUUAUGAUUCAAUAAGUCAUGACAGACCGGAA
rnacentral:lncRNA from 1 species